UACGGGGGUGCAAGCGUUGUUCGGAAUUACUGGGCGUAAAGGGCUCGUAGGUGGCCAACUAAGUCAGACGUGAAAUCCCUCGGCUUAACCGGGGAACUGCGUCUGAUACUGGAUGGCUAGAGAUUGGGAGAGGGAUGCGGAAUUCCAGGUGUAGCGGUGAAAUGCGUAGAUAUCUGGAGGAACACCGGUGGCGAAGGCGGCAUUCUGGACCGACAUUGACGCUGAGGAGCGAAAGCCAGGGGAGCAAACGGG
rnacentral:rRNA from 1 species